GGCAGCUAUAUAUAUUAGACAAACCCUAGGGCUGCUUUCAAUUGGCAUAUCCCAUUAGCGCCGAUUUCUUCAAAGAGACAUUCUAUCACUAGGAUAGGGUUUAUCCUUCAACCAUGAGAGCUAAGUGGAAGAAGAAGCGUAUGAGGAGAUUGAAGAGGAAGCGCCGAAAGAUGAGGCAGAGAUCCAAGUAGUCUCUCCAAUUCGCAUCGGUUUUGUUUUCAUAUUUUGUUUCUUGAAUUUUGUUAUGUAAUAGUUGGAUAUGAACUUGCAUGAUUUUGGAUCUACUAUUUACUCAAUUGAUGUUUCGUUGAUUUAA